AUUGAACGCUGGCGGCAUGCCUUACACAUGCAAGUCGAACGGCAGCACGGGAGCAAUCCUGGUGGCGAGUGGCGAACGGGUGAGUAAUAUAUCGGAACGUGCCCAGUCGUGGGGGAUAACGUAGCGAAAGCUACGCUAAUACCGCAUACGAUCUACGGAUGAAAGCGGGGGAUCGCAAGACCUCGCGCGAUUGGAGCGGCCGAUAUCAGAUUAGCUAGUUGGUGGGGUAAAAGCUCACCAAGGCGACGAUCUGUAGCUGGUCUGAGAGGACGACCAGCCACACUGGAACUGAGACACGGUCCAGACCCU
rnacentral:rRNA from 1 species